CUUUAACUUUGAUCUACUAAGCAUAUCUCCAAUACUUUUAUGUUUGCUAUACGCAACUAUUGGUGCUGUAUUGAAUAUUUGUACACAGUCUUCGUCGAACUGUAAAUAAUGCCAGUGUUUCAUUAUACGUUUCUUUAUUUUACGUAUAUAUGGAUUAUAUUUAGUUAUUAAAACUAACGGAAUACUUUGCUUCUCUUUAGAUUUGUUUUGUUGUAAUAAAUCAGUACGGUCAAUUGAUAAAGCAUCAGUAAUACUAUCAUCUAUUUCAGCGUUAUCAUAACCCCUAUCUAAUAAUUUCACUUUGAAAUUAGUUAGAUUGUUUAUUAAUUUGUUAUGGUCACUUGUAUUUCUAAUUUGCCGUAUUGCUUCACCUUUAAUAAAUCCUCUGAAUACAUGCUGUGAGUGACAGCUAUUUCUGUGCAGAAAC
rnacentral:lncRNA from 1 species